CCGCGUCUGAUUAGCUGGUUGGCGGGGUAACGGCCCACCAAGGCGACGAUCAGUAGCCGACCUGAGAGGGUGGCCGGCCACAUUGGGACUGAGACACGGCCCAAACUCCUACGGGAGGCAGCAGUGGGGAAUAUUGCACAAUGGGGGAAACCCUGAUGCAGCAACGCCGCGUGAGUGAAGAAGUAUUUCGGUAUGUAAAGCUCUAUCAGCAGGGAAGAAAAAAGACGGUACCUGACUAAGAAGCCCCGGCUAACUACGUGCCAGCAGCCGCGGUAAUACGUAGGGGGCAAGCGUUAUCCGGAUUUACUGGGUGUAAAGGGAGCGUAGACGGCAUAGCAAGUCUGAAGUGAAAGCCCGUGGCUCAACCGCGGAACUGCUUUGGAAACUGUUAAGCUGGAGUACUGGAGAGGCAAGCGGAAUUCCUAGUGUAGCGGUGAAAUGCGUAGAUAUUAGGAGGAACACCAGUGGCGAAGGCGGCUUGCUGGACAGAGACUGACGUUGAGGCUCGAAAGCGUGGGGAGCAAACAGGAUUAGAUACCCUGGUAGUCCACGCGGUAAACGAUGAAUGCUAGGUGUUGGCGGGCAAAGCCCGUCG
rnacentral:rRNA from 1 species